UACAGAGGUCCCAAGCGUUGUUCGGAUUCACUGGGCGUAAAGGGUGCGUAGGUGGCGAGGUAAGUCGGAUGUGAAAGCUCGGAGCUCAACUCCGAAAUGGCAUUGGAAACUACCUUGCUCGAGGGAUGGAGGGGGGACUGGAAUUCUCGGUGUAGCAGUGAAAUGCGUAGAUAUCGGGAGGAACAUCUGUGGCGAAGGCGACUGCCUGGACCAGCACUGACACUGAGGCACGAAAGCGUGGGGAGCAAACAGG
rnacentral:rRNA from 1 species